ACAUUCUGUAUUUAGUCCCGAUUGCCUAGCAACUUAGAACUUUUUAAAAGAGGCAAAGGCAGAGGAGAAAAAAGGAAGGAGGAAGUAACUUGUGGAAUGCUGAGAAAGAAGAAGCCAUUUAGAUUUUACAGAAAUGUAGCUCCUCAUACAUUAUAUUGUUCCUACGAAGAAUUAGAUUGAAUAAAGCUGCUUUGAAUAAAGCUCGUAUUACCAGCUACCACAUGUGAUGGAAAGGAUCCAAGUUAAACACUCUCACCAGAGCAUGCUCCAAGACAGAUGACUGAGCCCCAGGCUUGGCCAAUACAAUGCACUUCUAUUCUCUAUUUAUUUUUGUAGUUCAAAGACCUGGCAGUAACCCACUUGAUGCCUGCCAUAAGGACCAGUACACUCCUGAUUACUGCCCAGCGAUUUUAUAUCUGUAUGCCAGCUACUCAGACCACGUAUAAAGACUAGGGGGAUUUUUUGAAAGGAAAAGAAACCCCGGCUUCCACUUAUACUUUGAAAUUUCAGAUGAUAUACUGCCAACUUACAGACCUUGCUUUAAUCAGCAGCCACAUGAAAAGGCUGUUUCUAUUUACUCUAGGUCAUUUAGGAAACAAGCAAUAAGUAGGCCGUGCAAAAUUUCAGCUUCUCUUAAAGUUGGCAUGUUUUCCUCAAAUAGAGAGUUGAAUCUUGAUUUCAUUUUCUGAGUAGAAAUAUUUACAAUCCUGUCAUACAUGAAUUUUAGCCUUCCUUCUGUCUAACAACAAAUAGGCUUUUUAAAGAAUGCUUAGUGUUAAACUGGAAGCUGUUUUGUAAAGGUGGAUCUGUAUAGAUUUGAAUAAUGACUACGCUGCUUUACUGCUCUAGUUAAAAUUUCAUCAAAUACUGACUUUAGCUGGAAAAAGAUAAUUUAAGCCCAUCCUAUUUUAGUUUUAAAUUGUGUAUAUAUAAAAAGGUAAUCUUGCAGAACAUAAAGUAACAACUACAAUAUUCAGAAAUUCAUUAAUAUUAGAAAGAUAAAAAAUGAUUAGGGUACCAAUAUGUUCUUUGGUCCAUAAUGAAUUUCUUUACUCUUGGUUGUUCAUACUAUUUUGAUUAUCGGUGUAAUGAAGAGAUUUUGUGUAGUCCUUAAUAUUGUGACAAAGUAUCAUAUUUGUAUUAUCAAUUUUUAAAAAAUAUUUUCUUCCUUUAUUAUGUAGAGUCAAUAUUAUACCAUUUUCCGCUGUAAACUUGCAACUUGGUAUCUGACACUUCACACUGAACAAUUGUAAAAGCCUUACAACAAUACAAUUUCACUGAUACUCUCACCAUCUGCUAUGGACUAAAUUGCAUCCACCCAAAUAUUCAUAUACUGAAGCCCUACCCUAAAUGUGACUAUUUAGAGAUUGGGCCUACACAAAGGUAGUUAAGAUUAAAUAAGGUAAUAAGGAUAGGGCCCUGAUCCCAUAGAUUAGUGUCCUUAUAAGAGGAGAGAACAGAGGAAUGUGGGCUCUCUCACCCUUACUCUUGCUGUCUCUUUUUAUUCUCUCUCUCUGCCGUGUGAGGACACAGAGGGAAGACAUCUGUUUAAAAGCCAGGAAGAGAGCCCACAUCAGAACCAAAAUGGGCCAGCAUUUGGUGCCUUGACUUAAACUUCUCAGCCUCCAGAACUGGGAGAAAAUGAAUUUCUGUUAUACCAAUCUACGGUGUUUUGUUAUGGCAGCUUGAGCUAACUGAAAUGCUAUUUUUCAUCUUUUGUGCUACUGUUGUAAUAUUUUAAGUUUUGUUAUAACUAUAUAACUACAUUUAACAAUUUUUGUUUUAUUUUUCUUAUUUGUUUUAAACAGUCUAUUUUUUUAAGGGAAAUUGGGACAUUUAACAAAACCCUUUUAUGCUUACUGUCCCCUCUCCUGCCCCUUGUUUUUAACCAUUUCUAGUAUCUUCAUUCCUAAUAAUAGAGCCAAGUUUCCAUCUGAUGUCAUUUCCUGUCAGUGUAAUGAACAUUCUUUAGCAUUUCUUUUAGCACAAGUCUACUUGCAAUAUUUUCAGUUACACUACUUAUCUGAGAAUGUUUUCAUUUCAUUCUUGUUUCUAAAGAAUAUUUUCACUGGAAAUAGAAUUCUAGGAAGAUUGGUUUUUAAGCAUUUUAAAUAAAUCUUUCUAUAUCUCUAGGCCUCCAUGGUUUCAGAUGAGAAAUUAGCCAUAAUCUAUAUCAUGUUUUCUGUGUAAGUACUACAUCUAUUUUUUUCUUGAGCUAAAGUCGUUAUUUUCUCUUGAUCAUUUUUAGCCUGAAGCUGAGUUCUCUUGAAUCUAUCAGUGGAUAGUAAAUAUUUCUUAUUAAAUCUGGAAAAAUUAUUGCCAUUAUAUCUUCAAAUGUUUACUGGUCAUAUUCUUAUUGUCUUCUUUUUCUGGGAUCCUAAUUACACACAUAAGAUUGUUUGACAGUGACUCUUAGUUCUCUGAGGCUCUGAUCAUUUAUCUUAUAUUUUUUCCCUUUUUUCAUAUUGAUUAAUUUCUAUUAUUUAGUUUGCUGACCCCUUUUUCCUAUCAUCCUCAAUCUGCUAUUAAUCCCAUCAGAAUUUUUUUUCAUUUUAGACAUUGUAAUUUUUAGUUUCAGAAUUUCCAUAUGGUUCUGCUUCUUUCUUCCCCAUAGUUUUCAUUUCUCUAACCAAGCUUCUCUAUAUCUUUAGAUAAACCCCAUUUUCCUUCAAAUCCAUGAAAAUAUUUAUAUUAGCUUUAAAAAGUCUUGAUCUGCUAAAUCCAAUAUCUGGGCCAUCUUGAGGUCAGUUUCUAUUCAUUGUAUUUUUUUUUUCUUAGCUGUGGGUCAUAUUUCCUUUUUUAAAAAUGUCUGGUAAAUUUAGGUUUAACACUGAACUUUGUGGAUAUUAUGUUAUAUACACUCCUGAUUCUGGUACAUACUUCUGAAGAGUUUUUCUUUUAAUUCUAGUAGGGAGUGCAAUUACUAACUGAUAACCUUAAAGUUUUUGUUUUCACUUUGUUAACACGUCUCUGUGGAAAGACUGUUUUCCAAGACUCCUUUAUUUGUUGGAAUUCAAUCUCCAAACCCUGACUUUCAUCUAAAGAUAUCAUUGAGGCUUGGUUUUAGGCUUUAGAAGGUUGCAUUUUCAGUGGAUUUUACUCUAGCGCAGAGUCCUAAAUCCAAAGACAUGACUUUUCUGGAGUGUGCUUAUGGAUGCUUACGGUAUUUAGAAGUGUGUGGACUGGAAUUCCAAAGUCUCCCAGUGUGGUUCUACCUCCAGUGUCUUAGAUCUGUUCUUAAACCCACAGCAGCUUCUCUCAAGUUAAUCACUAUAUAGUUUCUUUUCAUACACGUAUAGUCCAGCCCUUAGCCAAGAACUUACAUUGGAUCCUCAAUUAGUCUUUCUCCCUCUCUAGACAGCUUCCUCCUCUUUGUUGUUUCAGCUCCCUGCAGUGAAAAAAAAAAAAGAAUUGUAUCCAAGCAGAGACAUGAAAGCUAAAAUCUUCAUAUAAAACCAAUUUACUAGCAUGAGGUAAAGAAUUAAGUCAUAUUCCUUUUAAUCUUCAAUGAGGUUACUUCAUUCACAUUGUUCUCAUAAUAUAAAUAUCUUUCUUUUUUACCUGGCAAUUUUGCCUCCUGGGAAAACUCUAAAUAUUGCUGGAGGUUACUCAACCCAAGAGGUUAAACCUUUGUACUUUCAUCUCUAGGAAAUAAAAAAAAAAGGAAUGCUUUCUUUGG